rfam:Parcubacteria bacterium GW2011_GWA2_46_10 TX29_C0011, whole genome shotgun sequence.
UGCCGGGUUGUGUAAUGGUAGCACAGCGGCCUUUGAAGCCGUCAGUCUAGGUUCGAGCCCUAGCCCGGCAG